AGAGUUUGAUCAUGGCUCAGGACGAACGCUGGCGGCGUGCUUAACACAUGCAAGUCGAGCGAUGAAGCUCCUUCGGGAGUGGAUUAGCGGCGGACGGGUGAGUAACACGUGGGUAACCUGCCUCGUAGAGGGGAAUAGCCUUCCGAAAGGAAGAUUAAUACCGCAUAAGAUUGUAGUUUCGCAUGAAACAGCAAUUAAAGGAGUAAUCCGCUAUGAGAUGGACCCGCGUCGCAUUAGCUAGUUGGUGAGGUAACGGCUCACCAAGGCGACGAUGCGUAGCCGACCUGAGAGGGUGAUCGGCCACAUUGGGACUGAGACACGGCCCAGACUCCUACGGGAGGCAGCAGCGGGGAAUAUUGCACAAUGGGGGAAACCCUGAUGCAGCGACGCCGCGUGAGUGAUGACGGUCUUCGGAUUGUAAAACUCUGUCUUCAGGGACGAUAAUGACGGUACCUGAGGAGGAAGCCACGGCUAACUACGUGCCAGCAGCCGCGGUAAUACGUAGGUGGCAAGCGUUGUCCGGAUUUACUGGGCGUAAAGGGAGCGUAGGUGGAUAUUUAAGUGGGAUGUGAAAUACUCGGGCUUAACCUGAGUGCUGCAUUCCAAACUGGAUAUCUAGAGUGCAGGAGAGGAAAGUAGAAUUCCUAGUGUAGCGGUGAAAUGCGUAGAGAUUAGGAAGAAUACCAGUGGCGAAGGCGACUUUCUGGACUGUAACUGACACUGAGGCUCGAAAGCGUGGGGGAGCAAACAGGAUUAGAUACCCUUGGUAGUCCACGCCCGUAAACGAUGAAUACUAAGGUGUGGGGGGUUGUCAUGGACCUCCCGUGC
rnacentral:rRNA from 1 species